GAUGAACGCUGGCGGCGUGCCUAAUACAUGCAAGUCGAGCGAACAGACGAGGAGCUUGCUCCUCUGACGUUAGCGGCGGACGGGUGAGUAACACGUGGAUAACCUACCUAUAAGACUGGGAUAACUUCGGGAAACCGGAGCUAAUACCGGAUAAUAUAUUGAACCGCAUGGUUCAAUAGUGAAAGACGGUUUUGCUGUCACUUAUAGAUGGAUCCGCGCCGCAUUCGCUAGUUGGUAAGGUAACGGCUUACCAAGGCAACGAUGCGUAGCCGACCUGAGAGGGUGAUCGGCCACACUGGAACUGAGACACGGUCCAGACUCCUACGGGAGGCAGCAGUAGGGAAUCUUACGCAAUGGGCGAAAGCUUGACGGAGCAACGCCGCGUGAGUGAUGAAGGUCUUCGGAUCGUAAAGCUCUGUUAUUAGGGAAGAACAAAUGUGUAAGUAACUAUGCACGUCUUGACGGUACCUAAUCAGAAAGCCACGGCUAACUACGUG
rnacentral:rRNA from 1 species